rnacentral:rRNA from 1 species
AUUGAACGCUGGCGGCAGGCCUAACACAUGCAAGUCGAACGAGUGGCGGACGGGUGAGUAAUGUCUGGGAAACUGCCCGAUGGAGGGGGAUAACUACUGGAAACGGUAGCUAAUACCGCAUACCAUCGGAUGUGCCCAGAUGGGAUUGGCUAGUGGGGGGGGUAACGGCUCACCUAGGCGACGAUCCCUAGCUGGUCUGAGAGGAUGACCAGCCACACGGGGACGGAGAAACGGUUCAGACUACUACGGGAGGCAGCAGUGGGGAAUAUGGCACAAUGGGCGCAAGCCUGAGGCAGCCAUGCCGCGUGUAUGAAGAAGGCCUUCGGGUUGUAAAGUACUUUCAGCGAGGAGGCGUUACUCGCAGAAGAAGCACCGGCUAACUCCGUGCCAGCAGCCGCGGUAAUAC